rnacentral:rRNA from 1 species
GAACGAGAAAGUGGAGCAAUCCAUGAGUACAGUGGCGUACGGGUGAGUAACACGUGACUAACCUACCCUCGAGUGGGGAAUAACCUCGGGAAACCGGGGCUAACACCGCAUAACAUCUACGGAUCAAAUGCGUAAGCAGCUUGAGGAGGGGGUCGCGGCUGAUUAGCUAGUUGGCGGGGUAAUGGCCCACCAAGGCAGUGAUCAGUAGCCGGCCUGAGAGGGCGCACGGCCACACUGGAACUGAAACACGGUCCAGACUCCUACGGGAGGCAGCAGUGGGGAAUUUUGCGCAAUGGGGGAAACCCUGACGCAGCAACGCCGCGUGGAGGAUGAAGCCCCUUGGGGUGUAAACUCCUUUCGACCGGGA